rnacentral:snRNA from 16 species
GGUUUAAUUACCAAGUUUGAGGUAAACAAUGAAACUGACCCAAAGAAAUUGGCGUUGGCUAUAAAUUUGGAACGUCUCCUUCAGGGGAGACAAA